rnacentral:rRNA from 1 species
AGAGUUUGAUCNNUGGCUCAGGACGAACGCUGGCGGCGUGCUUAAUACAUGCAAGUCGAGCGGACCUUUGCCGUUUGUUGCCGGUUUCCGGCGACAAAUGGCAACGGUUAGCGGCGAACGGGUGAGUAACGCGUGGGUAAUCUGCCCCCAAGACCGGGAUAACAGGGCGAAAGCGCUGCUAAUACCGGAUGACCUCUCUUUAUCGCAUGGUGAAGGGAGCAAAGCUACGGCGCUUGGGGAUGAGCCCGCGUUCCAUUAGCUAGUUGGUGAGGUAACAGCUCACCAAGGCGACGAUGGAUAGCCGGCCUGAGAGGGUGACCGGCCACACUGGGACUGAGACACGGCCCAGACUCCUACGGGAGGCAGCAGUAGGGAAUUUUCGGCAAUGGGGGAAACCCUGACCGAGCAACGCCGCGUGAGGGAUGAAGGCCUUCGGGUCGUAAACCUCUGUCUUUGGGGACGAUAAUGACGGUACCCGAGGAGGAAGCCCCGGCUAACUACGUGCCAGCAGCCGCGGUAAU